rnacentral:rRNA from 1 species
UGGGGAAUAUUGCACAAUGGGCGCAAGCCUGAUGCAGCCAUGCCGCGUGUAUGAAGAAGGCCUUCGGGUUGUAAAGUACUUUCAGCGAGGAGGAAGGCGUUGUGGUUAAUAACCGCAGCGAUUGACGUUACUCGCAGAAGAAGCACCGGCUAACUCCGUGCCAGCAGCCGCGGUAAUACGGAGGGUGCAAGCGUUACUCGGAAUUACUGGGCGUAAAGCGCACGCAGGCGGUCUGUCAAGUCGGAUGUGAAAUCCCCGGGCUCAACCUGGGAACUGCAUUCGAAACUGGCAGGCUAGAGUCUUGUAGAGGGGGGUAGAAUUCCAGGUGUAGCGGUGAAAUGCGUAGAGAUCUGGAGGAAUACCGGUGGCGAAGGCGGCCCCCUGGACAAAGACUGACGCUGAGACGCGAAAGCGUGGGGAGCAAACA